rnacentral:rRNA from 1 species
GACGUAGGGCGCGAGCGUUGUCCGGAUUUAUUGGGCGUAAAGAGCUCGUAGGCGGCUUGUCGCGUCGUCCGUGAAAACUUGGGGCUCAACCCCAAGCUUGCGGUCGAUACGGGCAGGCUAGAGUUCGGUAGGGGAGACUGGAAUUCCUGGUGUAGCGGUGAAAUGCGCAGAUAUCAGGAGGAACACCGGUGGCGAAGGCGGGUCGCUGGGACGAUACUGACGCUGAGGAGCGAAAGCGUGGGGAGCGAACAGG